GCGGCUAUAACACAAUGGUAGUGUGCUAGCUUCCCAAGCUAGUUACGCGGGUUCGAUUCCCGCUAGCCGCUCCA
rnacentral:tRNA from 1 species